CUCACUGACGGAGGGCUAACUUCUCAUUUCCCCAAAAGGGUCUUCUUUGACAUUUCAGGCGGACAGGCGUGCUUCGUUAACGGGAGUCCCCACUCAUGGUGGCCGUCUUCGGUGCGACUGUGCCGGACAAAUGUUUCCAGAAAGCGGCGCUAACUAUGGAAGCUAAUGCUACUGGUAGCCAACAACUAGUUGGCUCUCACGCGCACGCACGCGCGCGUGCUCAAGUGAGUGUUCCGCGAGAUAUUCCCAUGGCGCUGAUUGGACGCGCCGGGUGACGUCACAGGGCGGGGCUCCACCCCUCACAUUUUUAAAAGGGACCAGCAUGACAGGUUGAUUUAUGGACCGUCACUUCAGUUGAGACAUGCAGGGGGUAGUCCAACAACACAAAAUCGAUCACUGCUGCUGAGCACAAAGAUGCAUUUUUUUCACCCCCUCAAAAGCAUGCAGACUUCCAUCAAGAGCAUAAACAAGCCAGACUGAGGCGUGGCCUGCAGGAGAGGAGAGCAGGAGGAAAAGAGAGGAAGAGAGGGUGAUGAUGAUGGUGAUGAUGAUGAUGAUGAAACCCAAGUGCAAGAGACAUGUGUGAACGGUAUCAUGACCUGCAACUUGUGUGUGAAGAUGUUCUUCUGUGUUUAAUGUCUCUCUGCAGGUAAACAGUGAGCAAGACCAAUAUAGUGUGAGUUUAUGCAAUGUACUUUUGUUCCGCCUGUGAAGAAGUAGUGUAUAACCUCAUGAUGUACUGUGUUGUAUGAGCAUGAUUUAUGUUUUAAUUAAAUCUGCAAUUGCUUUACUUAU